UCUGUUUGAAUGCUGCCACAUUAGCUGCCACUGGAACUGUAAAUUACCUGCACAACAGCUCCCCCAGUGGCCACACCCAGAAGGAUUUUAGAAGCAAUUCACAUUUGUGACUGAUGUAGAACUCCUGCAGAGGAAUGAACAGACAGAAGAGAUGAAACAGCUCUCUAUACCCUCCUCUAAUUGCAAUAAAUUCUCCAGUGGUUUCUUCUGGUUGUAUUCCAAGACAUCUUUUGAACUGGAGAUUCUGGAAUUCCCAUGCCUGCAAAGCAUGUGUCACUGAAUCUCAUCUAACCCAUCCAGUGUCACGUAAGGAAAUGGAUGACCUUGCUAUAAUUACAUCUCUAAGAGUAGCCCUUAACACUCUCCACAUAGAAGCAAACAGAAGCCAUUUUCACUAUACAGCUCCUUUGAAGUUGGGAUUAAGAACAGAUUCACUAUGCCUGCUGACAUAGAAGUUACAAGACAGUACUGUUUAUAGCAGGCUCUAUGAAGAGGCUCCAUAGUGGCUAGGUCUGUUGACCUCAUACAUCCUACAAUGGAUAAAGACAAAAGAAAACAUGGCAGAGGCUGAGGCAGAUGCUCCAAGUAUCCUCCUUGCCUUUCUCUUCCCCUCCAAGACAGAAAGGCAGGAAGCAGAAGAAGCGGGGGAGAUCAGGGCCUCCAAGUUUCACAACCCACUUGAGCAACUCUUGCAUCCCUUUCAGGGGUUCCACUCAACCAUUUGAGAACCACAGCUGUAGAACAUUGUAUCAUUCCUACACUUAAGUAUUGCAAGGAAUAAAUGUUCUUUAAUGCCUUCAUGACAAUUAAUAUAUCUGCUAAAGGAUUUCAUUAGGUUGUGCAGAUAAAAUAUUGGGAUUAAUUAUAUGUUUGUUGCUUUUUAAGUACAGUCUCAUAAAAAAGGUUGUUAUUCAGCUUAUAAGCACUGAUAAAUGCUUGUUGAUUAACGGAG